rnacentral:rRNA from 1 species
GUCUUCUUGUUAUGUUUAGGAAGUCUGGCCUGCCCAGUGAAAAUAUUUUAACGGCCGCGGUAUCUUGACCGUGCAAAGGUAGCAUAAUCAUUAGUCUUUUAAUAGAGGGCUGGUAUGAAGGGUUUAACGAGGUGUUGACUGUCUCAUUUAAUUUGAAUUUAGAAUUUAAUUUUUUAGUUAAAAAGCUAAAAUAUUAUUGGAAGACGAGAAGACCCUAUAGAGCUUUAUAUUUUUAUUAUUAAUUUAUUUUAGCUUAUUAUUAUUUAUUAUUAAUAGGAAGUAUUAUGUUGGGGUGACAAGAAUAUAUAAAUAACUUUUUUAUCAUAUUUACAUUGAUAUAUGAAUAUUAGAUCCAAUCUUAUUGAUUGUUAGAUUAAGUUACCUUAGGGAUAACAGCGUAAUCCCUCUCCAGAGUUCAUAUUUACAGAGGGGCUUGCGACCUCGAUGUUGGAUUAAGAUAAUAAUUAGGUGCAGCCGCUUAAUUAAUAGGUCUGUUCGACCUUUAAAUUCUU